rnacentral:rRNA from 1 species
AGCACCGGCUAACUCCGUGCCAGCAGCCGCGGUAAUACGGAGGGUGCGAGCGUUAAUCGGAAUUACUGGGCGUAAAGCGCAUGCAGGUGGUUUGUUAAGUCAGAUGUGAAAGCCCGGGGCUCAACCUCGGAAUAGCAUUUGAAACUGGCAGACUAGAGUACUGUAGAGGGGGGUAGAAUUUCAGGUGUAGCGGUGAAAUGCGUAGAGAUCUGAAGGAAUACCGGUGGCGAAGGCGGCCCCCUGGACAGAUACUGACACUCAGAUGCGAAAGCGUGGGGAGCAAACAGGAUUAGAUACCCUGGUAGUCCACGCCGUAAACGAUGUCUACUUGGAGGUUGUGGCCUUGAGCCGUGGCUUUCGGAGCUAACGCGUUAAGUAGACCGCCUGGGGAGUACGGUCGCAAGAUUAAAACUCAAAUGAAUUGACGGGGGCCCGCACAAGCGGUGGAGCAUGUGGUUUAAUUCGAUGCAACGCGAAGAACCUUACCUACUCUUGACAUCCAGAGAACUUUCCAGA